GUCUCAGGGAAAAGGAUCCUGCAAGAAGGAGCUAGGGGAGGUGCCCCCAGGUGAUGAGGAAGCUGGGAAUUAGAGAAGAGGCAGUGACCCAUAGGAGAAAAGCAUAACUAUAUAAUAUGAAGACAAGUAAUUCCCAUCAUCUAGGGAACUUGCUUUAAGCCCCCAAAAGUAAAGGCACAUCAGGAAGUUGGCCAAACAGGGCCAGAUACCACAUGAGUCCUCUCUCUUGGUUUUGCCACCUUCUCAGACCAGAAAGCCUCAGUAAGUGAUGAAGUGAAGGGCAAAAGCUCUUCAGGGUGAGAUCAUCUUCUAUUCUCUGAGAUCCCCAGAUCUAUCCCUGAGCUGGUGAAGGUGCUGGAAAACCCUGUUUCCUAAGAUCAGAACAACCCAAAGGCCUCACCUCCCUCCAUUGCCCUUUCUAGGGCAACUAAAAUGCAGACCCAGAGGGGGGAAAAAAAAACAAAAAACACCAGGAGUAAAUAAUGAGGGGAGUCUGAGCUAUCUCUUCAGUCCCUCCCCUGCUCAAGACAAAGGUGGUUCUGAUCUCCUAACCUGUCAGGACAGGGAAAAGAGUCCACUCAGGCACAGAAGAGGGCGGGGCUCCUACCCCAGCAGGAAUCAGGAAGCCAAGAGCCUGAGUCCCCGAGGACAUACAAAGUUCCACUGCUUGUUUCUCCAUAUUCCUGUAGGGUUAUUGGAGAGAUGUAUUUAUGAGGGUGAUAACUAGCUCCUAAUUGAUUUCUUUCCUAAAGUCCUGAGUGACAUGAUUGAGCAGUAGAAAUGGCCGCAUCACAGCUAAAAACACCCCAAGGAACAGAGUGUUUCUAAUUCUGUUAUUUAUCUUUGGGUGCUCAGAAUGGCCUGAUACUAGGGUACUGAGGUGAUCCAUUGACAGCUCUCCAAACAGUGCGUGGAACUUGGAGCCAGGCAUGCAUGGCAGAGCCUAGGUUGGCUACCACCACCCCAAGGAACAGCAGGCUUGUAUUCUUGCCAUCAGUACUUUGGGGGACCUCACUGGAUGGUCAAUUUUUCAUAUAUAUAUAUAUACACUCUCUAUUUUUAAAAUUAAACUGAGAUCUCACUGCCUUAUCUCACACCCAAGUCUGUCCCCCAACCUCUACCCCCCGAGAUGACCCAUCUUCUGAGGUGUAUCAUGGAUAUAGGUGUUUUCUUGGACAGCUUUGCUUAGAAUGGGUGUCAGGGAGGGAGAGAGAUGGAGCAUGUGUGUGUGUGUGUGUGUGUGUGUGUGUGUGUGUAUGAGAGAGAGAGAGAGAGAGAGAGAGAGAAAAC
rnacentral:lncRNA from 1 species